rnacentral:lncRNA from 1 species
ACUUAAAUAAAAUGUUAACAUAUUAGAGGGAAAAUUAAGUAAAAUAUAAUCUCAUCGAAAAUUUAUGAAAGUGCAAUUUCUCUCAAGUUUUUUUUUUAAAUGUCACUCUAUUUUAAUUACUAUUUUUGGCUAGCAAAUAUUUGCUAAAAUUUAUUUGUAUCACAAUUCCAUUUGAGUUUUAAAAAUAUGAUAUACUAUAAACUAUUUGUAUUGCAUUAUAAAUAAAAAUAGCUAAUAUCAUCUAUUAAAAUGAGCAAAUAAACUAUGAAAGCAAAUUCUACCAAAAUAAGAAAAGUAAUUUGUAACUUUGGAUAUCCAACUAUCAGUGCCUAAAAAAUCUGCUAAUUUUUUAAAAGGUUGUAAAGAUAACAACAAAAGUUAGAUGUGGCCUAUGUCUUUAAAUUAUGCAUGAGAGAGGACACAAUGCCAAGAUCUAGCAACUGAGUAUUGAAAAAAGUAAGGGAUUUAAUGUAAUCCAAUAUUAGCUGAAAAGACUAGAAAGUACAUUCUUGUAUUACAUUUCAUUUGUUAUGUACUCUGCACUAAAGCAACUUCAAUGGAACUUAAUAAAAUACACAUUUUUUAAA